rnacentral:rRNA from 1 species
UUGAACGCUGGCGGCAUGGCUAAAACAUGCAAGUCGAACGCGAAAGGGGGCAACCCCGAGUAGAGUGGCGAAAGGGCGAGUAACACGUUUCUAACGUACCCCGGACUCGAGGAUAGCUCGCCGAAAGGCGGAUUAAUACUCGAUGAUGCUCAUGGGUUGUAUGACCUGUGUGCCAAAGGCUUGCUGGUCUGGGAGCGGGGAACGUCCUAUCAGGUCGUUGGUGAGGUAACGGCUCACCAAGCCUAUGACGGGUAGCGGGUGUGAGAGCACGGCCCGCCGCAUCGGGACUGAGACACUGCCCGGACUCCUACGGGAGGCUGCAGUAACGAAUAUUCCGCAAUGCGCGAAAGCGUGACGGAGCGAUGCCGCGUGCAGGACGAAGCCCCUCGGGGUGUAAACUGCUGUCAGGGUUUACCAAAAAAAUGAGGAUACCCAAAGGAAGAGGCGGCUAACUCUGU